GCAAGUAUAAUCCAACUUUGCUUUAAAUUAUGCAGAAUCAACAAAUCAUUCUAAUUGGUUAAUACAAAAUUAAAUUAUUGAGAUAUGCGUUAAGCAUGUAAGGAAUACUAUUGUUGAAGAUAUAAUAAACGCUGGAAUGUAUAGCAUUUUGUGGGACGAAGCACGAUUCCAGAAAGAAGAACAGUUAGCUGUGUGUGUUCGUUAUCUAAAAAACCUUAAAGUAGAGGAACAAUUUGUUGGAUUUUUAGAUACAAAAUUAAUAUAAUAGUUUAAUCAUAUGGCGGUCCCAGUGUCAGAUGUUUUACAAAUUAUUCACAUUCGGAGUGCUCAAUUGCAAUAAAAAUCUGAUUGGAAAGUCAAGUUCAUUAGUAUGUGGUGCGAUUGAUA